rnacentral:rRNA from 1 species
CCUACGGGUGGCUGCAGUGGGGAAUAUUGGACAAUGGGCGAAAGCCUGAUCCAGUCAUGCCGCGUGUGUGAAGAAGGCCUUCGGGUUGUAAAGCACUUUCAGUGGGGAAGAAAGCCUUGGGGCUAAUACCCUCGAGGAAGGACAUCACCCACAGAAGAAGCACCGGCUAACUCCGUGCCAGCAGCCGCGGUAAUACGGAGGGUGCGAGCGUUAAUCGGAAUUACUGGGCGUAAAGCGCGCGUAGGCGGUCUGAUAAGCCGGUUGUGAAAGCCCCGGGCUCAACCUGGGAACGGCAUCCGGAACUGUCAGGCUAGAGGGCAGGAGAGGAAGGUAGAAUUCCCGGUGUAGCGGUGAAAUGCGUAGAGAUCGGGAGGAAUACCAGUGGCGAAGGCGGCCUUCUGGACUGACACUGACGCUGAGGUGCGAAAGCGUGGGUAGCAAACAGGAUUAGAUACCCCAGUAGUC